rnacentral:rRNA from 1 species
UACGAAGGGGGCUAGCGUUGUUCGGAAUUACUGGGCGUAAAGCGCGCGUAGGCGGCUCGGUCAGUCGGGUGUGAAAUCCCUGGGCUCAACCUGGGAACUGCAUUCGAUACUGCCGAGCUAGAGUGUGGGAGAGGGUAGUGGAAUUCCCGGUGUAGCGGUGAAAUGCGUAGAUAUCGGGAGGAACAUCAGUGGCGAAGGCGACUGCCUGGCCCAACACUGACGCUGAGGUGCGAAAGCGUGGGUAGCAAACAGG